GACGAACGCUGGCAGCGUGGAUUAGGCAUGCAAGUCGAACGGUAUCAUCCUUUCGGGGGUGAGAGAGUGGCGAACUGGUGAGUAACACGUAGGUUAUCUACCCUCAAGACGGGGACAACCCAGGGAAACUUGGGCUAAUACCGGAUGUGAGCAACUUUUAGUUGUUUGAAAGGUGGCGUAAGCUGUCGCUUGGGGAUGAGCCUGCGUCCUAUUAGUUAGUUGGUGAGGUAACGGCUCACCUAGGCAAUGAUAGGUAGGCGGCCUUAACGGGUGGUCGCCCACACUGGGAUUGAGAUACGGCCCAGACUCCUACGGGAGGCAGCAGUCGAGAAUAGUCUACAAUGGUCGGAAGACUGAUAGUGCGACGCCGCGUGAACGAUGAAUCCCUUCGGGGUGUAAAGUUCUUUUAUAUGUGAGCAGUGCUUCUUAUAUUAAACAGUAUGGGGAGAGAGAUAUUAGCAUAUGAAUAAGCAAACGGCUAAACUCCGUGCCAGCAGCCGCGGU
rnacentral:rRNA from 1 species